rnacentral:rRNA from 1 species
AUACAGAGGGUGCGAGCGUUAAUCGGAAUUACUGGGCGUAAAGCGCGCGUAGGCGGCUACUUAAGUCAGAUGUGAAAUCCCCGGGCUCAACCUGGGAACUGCAUCUGAUACUGGGUAGCUAGAGUUUUGGAGAGGGAAGUAGAAUUUCAGGUGUAGCGGUGAAAUGCAUAGAGAUCUGAAGGAAUACCAGUGGCGAAGGCGACUUCCUGGCCAAAAACUGACGCUGAGGUGCGAAAGCGUGGGUAGCAAAGGGGAUUAGAAACCCCAGUAGUCC